rnacentral:rRNA from 1 species
AACGAACGCUGGCGGCAUGCCUAACACAUGCAAGUCGAACGAGACCUUCGGGUCUAGUGGCGCACGGGUGCGUAACGCGUGGGAACCUGCCCUUAGGUUCGGAAUAACUCCCCGAAAGGGGUGCUAAUACCGGAUAAUGUCUUCGGACCAAAGAUUUAUCGCCUUUGGAUGGGCCCGCGUUGGAUUAGCUAGUUGGUAGGGUAAAAGCCUACCAAGGCGACGAUCCAUAGCUGGUCUGAGAGGAUGAUCAGCCACACUGGGACUGAGACACGGCCCAGACUCCUCCGGGAGGCAGCAGUGGGGAAUGUUGGACAGUGGGCGAAAGCAUGAACCAGCAAGGCCGCGUGAGUGAUGAAGGCCUUAGGGUUGUAAAGCUCUUUUACCCGGGAUGAUAAUGACAGUACCGGGAGAAUAAGCCCCGGCUAACUCCGUG